GAUGAACGCUGGCGGCGUGCCUAAUACAUGCAAGUCGAGCGAACAGAUGAGGAGCUUGCUCCUCUGACGUUAGCGGCGGACGGGUGAGUAACACGUGGAUAACCUACCUAUAAGACUGGGAUAACUUCGGGAAACCGGGGCUAAUACCGGAUAAUAUAUUGAACCGCAUGGUUCAAUAGUGAAAGACGGUUUUGCUGUCACUUAUAGAUGGAUCCGCGCCGCAUUAGCUAGUUGGUAAGGUAACGGCUUACCAAGGCAACGAUGCGUAGCCGACCUGAGAGGGUGAUCGGCCACACUGGAACUGAGACACGGUCCAGACUCCUACGGGAGGCAGCAGUAGGGAAUCUUCCGCAAUGGGCGAAAGCCUGACGGAGCAACGCCGCGUGAGUGAUGAAGGUCUUCGGAUCGUAAAACUCUGUUAUUAGGGAAGAACAAAUGUGUAAGUAACGAUGCACGUCUUGACGGUGCCUAAUCAGAAAGCCACGGCUAACUACGU
rnacentral:rRNA from 1 species